UAUACAGCAAGUGCCUACUGUGUGCUCGCAUUGAGAACCAGACCUGGCCCCUCGUUCCUACCCUCGCUGGGCUUUCAGUCUAACAGACUGAGCUACUCAGGAUGGUCAGGGGUUGGCCAAAUGCCAGGAUGCAGUGCAGUGGGUGUGAUCUCAGCUCACUGCAGCCUUGACCUCCUGAGCACAAGCGAUUCUCCUGCCUCAGCCUCCCAAGUAGCUGGGAUUACAGGUGCGCCCCGCCCAGCUAACAUUUAUUCUUUUAUCUGAAAUUUACAUUUAACUAGACGGCCUGUAUUUUUAUUUGCUAAACUUGACAGCUGUAUGGGAUCCUCUCCGAGGUUACAUCCUGAAGGGAGUCGGUGUUAACCAGACGAAGAGUGCAUGAGGAGUGUUCUAGGCAGCUAAAUGCGUCUCCAGCGUCCGGAGUUUGCAGAUGGGGAAACUGAGGCUCCGAGGCGGGGACCAGAAGAAAGCAUGGGUGGGGACAAGUUGGAGAAUGCACCAUCAGUG